UAAUGGGAGAGUUAAUCAAAUAGUCACCCACAUAAAUAUAAAACCUCAAGCUGACCUAGUUCCAAGGGAGAGGAGUGUGAUUACUAAGCUGAUACGAGUAUGAGUUGAGGUGAGACGGAAUUAGGAGAUGAGUUCUCUGAGCACAAGGUACCACAUGUACAGAGGCCCAGAGGCAGGAACAAGUUAAACUUACAGGAAUAAAAAAAGCCUUUGUGACAGAAGCAUCAUAAUAAGGAAUGAAGUUGAGGUGAGGUUACAGAGUAUAGCAGGGGUCAGCCAGAUAGGUCCUAAGAGACCAGGUUGAGCAUUUGGUCCUUACACUGAACAGUAACUUUACAUGGAGAGGUGAUCCAUUCAGAUUUGUCGUUUUCGAUGCCCCUCUCUGGUACUGUGUGAACGCAGAGCAAUCUAAUCCAAGAUGGUGGUGGAAUGGGGGAAGGUCGGACACAUUUCAGAGGGGAGCAGACUCUUGCUCCCAACCUCCUCCCCAUCGAACCGUCAUUCAACCUGAGCCUACCUCUUCAGACAAUGUCAGAGAUUCAGGGACGAGGACCAGUGACUGCUACCCAGGACUGAGGAGAUCCCCUCCAGUUGACCCAAAUACAAGAGAUCAACAUCACUGGACUGGAG
rnacentral:lncRNA from 1 species